GCAUUAAUGGGGUAGUGGUAACCUGGGUCGUUGCCAUCCUCUCUCUCGACCCGCCGGGGGUUCGAUUCCCCCUUAAUGCA